rnacentral:rRNA from 1 species
UAAUAGCUCACUGGUCGAGUGACUCUGCGCCGAAAAUGUACCGGGGCUAAACGUAUCACCGAAGCUGCGGACUGUUCUUACGAACAGUGGUAGGAGAGCGUUCUAAGUGCAGUGAAGUCAGACCGGAAGGACUGGUGGAGCGCUUAGAAGUGAGAAUGCCGGUAUGAGUAGCGAAAGACGGGUGAGAAUCCCGUCCACCGAAUGCCUAAGGUUUCCUGAGGAAGGCUCGUCCGCUCAGGGUUAGUCGGGACCUAAGCCGAGGCCGAAAGGCGUAGGCGAUGGACAACAGGUUGAUAUUCCUGUACCACCUCCUCACCAUUUGAGCAAUGGGGGGACGCAGGAGGAUAGGGUAAGCGCGGUAUUGGAUAUCCGCGUCCAAGCAGUUAGGCUGGGAAAUAGGCAAAUCCGUUUCCCGUGAAGGCUGAGCUGUGAUGGCGAGCGAAAUUUAGUAGCGAAGUUCCUGAUUCCACACUGCCAAGAAAAGCCUCUAGCGAGGUGAGAGGUGCCCGUACCGCAAACCGACACAGGUAGGCGAGGAGAGAAUCCUAAGGUGAUCGAGAGAACUCUCGUUAAGGAACUCGGCAAAAUGACCCCGUAACUUCGGGAGAAGGGGUGCUUCUUAGGGUGUUAAAGCCCCGAGAAGCCGCAGUGAAUAGGCCCAGGCGACUGUUUAGCAAAAACACAGGUCUCUGCGAAGCCGUAAGGCGAAGUAUAGGGGCUGACGCCUGCCCGGUGCUGGAAGGUUAAGAGGAGCGCUUAGCGUAAGCGAAGGUGCGAAUUGAAGCCCCAGUAAACGGCGGCCGUAACUAUAACGGUCCUAAGGUAGCGAAAUUCCUUGUCGGGUAAGUUCC